rnacentral:lncRNA from 1 species
GUUAGUUUUCAGCGGCGGAUCCGGUAGGCUUGUCCCUGAAUAGUUCCUGUUUGUAGCCCCAAAAUUUUGUCAUGUUAGUCUCGUUUUCUACCAUGUUGUUGUUCAUCCCGGAUGUUUUACUGAACAUCUCUAUGUAUUUUGCUCCUUUUGUUGUGCAUUUUCCUGAAUUUCGUGCUUAUUUUUCAGUGUUUUCUCCAUAAUAGGAAGUGUAUGUAAGAUCAAGGGUCUGCAGUGGUAUGCGCAUGAAGUUCUGCUGUGCAUUUUGUCUACCUUCAUCUCUGUGCAGUUGACCUAUAUGCAUCUCUAUGCUGUAGAACUUCACUGCUUGCUUAUGUGCCUCAUGUAGCUUUGCUGUACUUUCUUAUUUUUUAGUUAAUAUUGUACCCCUUGCAGUAUUUUGCCUAGUGUUUAUGUUGUCAUAGUUGAUGUGCAACUUGCUCCCUAAUUAGUGUGUGGGUAUUGUAUCCUUUGGCCUUUGUAAAUAUUGUAUCAUUUGGCCCUGUUCUAGUCUGUAAUACCCCUCUUGUUCUUCACUAUGCAUGUGUAGUAGCACUGCCUUCUUCUUAGUAUGAUUGAUAUUGUAUUUUUUCUUAAUUUCUAUUUGAUGUAUCUCUGACUUAGACUGUACUUCCCCUAGUUUUCUUUUGAUGCAGUUGUAUGCCCGAUGAAUUUUUGUAAUGUAUUUUCUGAAGUUCAGUGUAUUUCCCUGGAGUUUUACACUGUAAUUUGUGUGGGUGAGGAAUGUAAUUAACCAUAUGGCUUACACUGCAACUAAACAUAGGGCUUACACUGUAAAUUAGCAGAGUUUUCCACUUUAACUAACCAUAUGGCUUACACUGCAACUAACGAUAGGGCUUACACUGUAAAUUAGCAGAGUUUUCCACUGUAACUAACCAUAGGGCUUACACUGUAAAUUAGCAGAGUUUUCCACUGUAAUUAACCAUAGGGCUUACACUGUAAAGUAGCAGAGUUUUCCACUGUAAUUAACCAUAGGGCUUACACUGUAAAUUAGCAGAGUUUUCCACUGUAAUUAACCAUAGGGCUUACACUGUAAAUUAGCAGAGUUUUCCACUGUAUUUUGUGUUGAUGAGGACUGUAAUUUGUGGUUUGGCCUUAGCUUGUAUUUUUCAUAGGGCUUACGCCAUAAUUGAGUAGAGUUUUACACUAUAAUUUUUCUUGGUGAGGACUAUAUUUGUUGUAGGGUUUACAGUGUAAUUGUAAAGUGUAUUUUUCCUGUUGGGCUUACACCGUAAAUGAGUAGAGUUCUACAGUGUAAUUUGUGUGGGUUGGGACUGUAAUUGUACAAUGUAUUUUUCCUAUUGGGCUUAAUCUGUAAGUCACCAGAGUUUUUCUGUGUAAUUUGUGUGGGUUAGUACUAUAAUUGUUUCACUUAAUUUUCAACGUAAAUUCGGCGUGACUUGUCCUGAAUUAUUUCUGUAAUAUGACACAAAAUUACAGCGUAAUUUCACUUUAUUU